GGCACGCGCGCCCAUGAAGACUACGGCUGUCCUUUGAUCCAGCAAUCCGACCCCGAGUCGGACAUCUUCGGCUCCACAGCCCGACCUCGAGUCGGUUGCCCUUUGAUCCAGCAAUCCGACCCCGAGUCGGACAUCUUCGGCUCCACAGCCCGACCCCGAGUCGGCUGCCCCCUGAUCCAGCACUCCGACCCCGAGUCGGAGUGCUCUUGAUAACGACAGGCUGCUUCCCAGAGGCACGCCGAGGCCUCCUGCUCCACUACUCCCUGCAACGGCUGUAUCCGAUGCUGUUCCACGAUCUCCUGUAUCAGCCGUACAAAGCGGAACUCCACUACGCCCUGUCAUGGCCGUACCCAGCGCUGCUCCACGACGCCCUGUAACGGCCAUGUCAGUGGCCACUCCAUCGCGCCCCAG
rnacentral:lncRNA from 1 species